AGUGAACGCUGGCGGUAGGCCUAACACAUGCAAGUCGAACGGCAGCACAGGAGAGCUUGCUCUCUGGGUGGCGAGUGGCGGACGGGUGAGGAAUACAUCGGAAUCUACUCUGUCGUGGGGGAUAACGUAGGGAAACUUACGCUAAUACCGCAUACGACCUACGGGUGAAAGCAGGGGACCUUCGGGCCUUGCGCGAUUGAAUGAGCCGAUGUCGGAUUAGCUCGUUGGCGGGGUAAAGGCCCACCAAGGCGACGAUCCGUAGCUGGUCUGAGAGGAUGAGCAGCCACACUGGAACUGAGACACGGUCCAGACUCCUACGGGAGGCAGCAGUGGGGAAUAUUGGACAAUGGGCGCAAGCAUGAUCCAGCCAUACCGCGUGGGUGAAGAAGGCCUUCGGGUUGUAAAGCCCUUUUGUUGGGAAAGAAAUCCAGCUGGCUAAUACCCGGUUGGGAUGACGGUACCCAAAGAAUAAGCACCGGCUAACUUCGUGCCAGCCGCCGCCGUAA
rnacentral:rRNA from 1 species